AUUGAACGCUGGCGGCAGGCCUAACACAUGCAAGUCGAGCGAGCGGCGGACGGGUGAGUAAUGUCUGGGCAACUGCCUGAUGGAGGGGUAUAACUACUGGACACGGUAGCUAAUACCGCAUACUCUCAGUUGUGCCCAGAGGGGAUUAGCUAGUAGGUGGGGUAAUGGCGCACCUAGGCGACGAUCCCUAGCUGGUCUGAGAGGGUGACCAGCCACACUGGAAAUGAGACACGGUCCAGACGCCUACGGGAGGCAGCAGUGGGGAAUAUUGCACAAUGGGCGCAAGCCUGAUGCAGCCAUGCCGCGUGUGUGAAGAAGGCCUUCGGGUUGUAAAGCACUUUCAGCGGGGAGGCGUUACUCGCAGAGGAAGCACCGGCUAACUCCGUGCCAGCAGCCGCGGUAAUAC
rnacentral:rRNA from 1 species